GACGAACGCUGGCGGCGUGCCUAAUACAUGCAAGUAGAACGCUGAAGCGAGGAGCUUACUCUUCUCGGAUGAGUUGCGAACGGGUGAGUAACGCGUAGGUAACCUGCCUUGUAGCGGGGGAUAACUAUGGGAAACGAUAGCUAAUACCGCAUAACAAUGGAUGACACAUGUCAUUUAUUUGAAUGGGGCAAUUGCUCCACUACAAGAUGGACCUGCGUUGUAUUAGCUAGUAGGUGAGGUAAUGGCUCACCUAGGCGACGUAACAUAGCCGACCUGAGAGGGUGGUCGGCCGAACUGGGAAGGGGACAGGGCCCAAGCUCCCUGGGGAGGGAGCAGGAGGGAAACUUCGGCCAGGGGGGGAAACCUUACCGAGCAACGCCGCGGUAGUGAAGAAGGUUGUCGGAUCGUAAAGGUCUGUUUUAAGUCAAGAACGAGUGUGAGAGUGGAAAGUACACACUGUGACGGUAGCCUACCAGAAAGGAACGGCUAACUACGUG
rnacentral:rRNA from 1 species